rnacentral:rRNA from 1 species
AAUCAACGCUGGCGGCGCGCCUAACACAUGCAAGUCGAACGAGAAAGCCGCAAGGUGAGUAAAGUGGCGUACGGGUGAGUAACACGUGGAUCAUCUACCCUCUAGUGGGGAAUACCGUUGGGAAACCGACGACAAUACCGCAUAAGCUCGAGAGAGGAAAGCAGCAAUGCGCUGGAGGAGGAGUCCGCGGUCGAUUAGUUAGUUGGCAGGGUAAAAGCCUACCAAGACUGUGAUCGAUAGCCGGCCUGAGAGGGCACACGGCCACACUGG